AAUCGAACUCGGAGAUAGCUGGUUCUCCUCGAAAUAGCUUUAGGGCUAGCCUUGAGGUAAAGUCUAAUGGAGGUAAAGCACUGAUUGGACGCGGGUCCCCAAAAGGAUACCAACUUCUAUCAAACUCAGAAUGCCAUAUAGAUAUACUCAGGAGUCAGACUAUGUGAGAUAAGUUUCAUAGUCAAAAGGGAAAGAGCCCAGACCGACAGCUAAGGUCCCAAAGUGUGUGUUAAGUGGAAAAGGAUGUUAGGUUUCUAAGACAACUAGGAUGUUGGCUCAGAAGCAGCCACUCAUUUAAAGAGUGCGUAACAGCUCACUAGUCGAGAGGUCUAGCGCCGAAAAUGUCCGGGGCUAAAACACACCACCGAAGCUACGGAAUUACCUAUGGUAAUUGGUAGAGGAGCAUUCUGUAAGGAUGAAGCACAAUUGAAAGAGAGUGUGGACGAAACAGAAGAGAGAAUGCCGGAAUGAGUAGCGAGAUAUAUGUGAGAAUCAUAUAGGUCGAAUGUCUAAGGUUUCCUGGGUAAAGCUGAUCUGCUCAGGGUAAGUCGGGACCUAAGGUGAGGGCGAGAGCCGUAAUCGAUGGACAACAGGUAGAAAUUCCUGUACUACGUAUAAUCAGAACUGUGGGGACGCAGGAGGAUAGGAAAACCGGAGAAUGGAAAUAUCCGGCUAAGUACAAAGGUGUGAGUGAUAGGCAAAUCCGUCACUAUUAGCUGAAGUACGAAUGGGAGCGAAGAAAAGUAGCGAAGUUUCUGAAUCCACACUGUCAAGAAAAGCCGCUAUUGCGUUAUACGUACCCGUACCGCAAACCGACACAGGUAGACGAGGAGAAAAUCCACAGACCGACGGGAGAAGUGUUGUUAAGGAACUCGGCAAAAUGACCCCGUAACUUAGGGAUAAGGGGAGCCAACGCAAGUUGGUCACAGAAAAGAGGCUCAAGCGACUGUUUAGCAAAAACAUAGGUCUAUGCGAAACCGUAAGGUGAUGUAUAUGGGCUGACACCUGCCCGGUGCUGGAAGGUCAAAAGGAGAGGUUAGCGUAAGCGAAGCUUUGAAUUCAAGCCCCAGUAAACGGCGGCCGUAACUAUAACGGUCCUAAGGUAGCGAAAUUCCUUGUCAGGUAAGUUCUGACCCGCACGAAAGGUGUAACGAUUUGAGCACUGUCUCGACAACACGCCCGGUGAAAUUGAAGAACCAGUGAAGAUACUGGUUACCCGCAACAGGACGGAAAGACCCCAUGGAGCUUUACUGCAGCUUAAUAUUGGGAUUCGGUAUUGUAUGUACAGGAUAGGAGGGAGACUAAGAAGCUAGCACGCCAGUGUUGGUGGAGUCGAUGGUGGGAUACCUCUCUUAUAAUACUGAAUUUCUAACCUACUUCCGUGAUCCGGAAGAGGGACAUUGUUAGGCGGGCAGUUUGACUGGGGCGGUCGCCUCCGAAAGAGUAACGGAGGCGCUCAAAGGUCUUCUCAGAAUGAUUGGAAACCAUUCAAAGAGUGUAAAGGCAAAAGAAGGCUUGACUGCGAGAGUGACAACUCGAGCAGGUACGAAAGUAGGACUUAGUGAUCCGGUGGUAACAAGUGGGAGUGCCAUCGCUUAACGGAUAAAAGCUACCCUGGGGAUAACAGGCUUAUCUCCCCCAAGAGUUCACAUCGACGGGGAGGUUUGGCACCUCGAUGUCGGCUCAUCGCAUCCUGGGGCUGUAGUAGGUCCCAAGGGUUGGGCUGUUCGCCCAUUAAAGCGGUACGCGAGCUGGGUUCAGAACGUCGUGAGACAGUUCGGUCCCUAUCCGUUGUGGGCGUAGGAAAUUUGAUAGGAGCUGUCCUUAGUACGAGAGGACCGGGAUGGACGAACCUCUGGUGAAUCUGUUGGUAACCAAUGCCACAGCAGAAUAGCCAAGUUUGGAACGGAUAAACGCUGAAGGCAUCUAAGCGUGAAGCCAACCUAAAGACUAGAUUUCCCAUGCGAAAGCAGUAAGACUCCUUGU
rnacentral:rRNA from 1 species